UAACAAUAACAGACAUGGAACCAACCAAUUUGAUGAAAAGUACUUUAUUGUGUUAAAGUAAUCCAAAAAAAACUGUGCAACACACUUUAUCAAUGAAACAUGUAAUUAGACAGUGAGAGAGGGAAAGAGAUAAAGAGAGAGAGAGAGAGAGAGAGAGAGAGAGAGAGAGAGAAGAGACUGAGAUCAGUAUCAGAGUGAAACCAGUAGCAGAGUCCCAGUGAGUCAGGUCAGGACUGGGAACACUGGUCUCUCCUCAG